AGAGAGAGACAUGCGCGCAUAUCAAUAAGCGGAGGAAAAGAAACUAACAAGGAUUCCCUCAGUAACGGCGAGUGAAGCGGGAAGAGCUCAAGUUUGAAAUCUUCAAGGUUCUACCUUGACGAAUUGUAGUUUAUAGAAGUGUUUUCUGUUAGUGGAGUGGCAAAAGUUCUUUGGAAUAGGACAUCAUAGAGGGUGAGAAUCCCGUAUUUGGUCAUUCCUCCUAGCGUUGUGAUACACUUUCAACGAGUCGGAUUGUUUGGGAAUGCAGUCCAAAAUGGGUGGUAAAUUUCAUCUAAAGCUAAAUAUUGGCGAGAGACCGAUAGCGAACAAGUACCGUGAGGGAAAGAUGAAAAGAACUUUGAAAAGAGAGUUAAACAGCACGUGAAAUUGUCAAAAGGGAAGCGUUUGACACCAGUGUUGUUUUUCCGAAAAUCAAUUACGAAUGUUUUAUUUUUGAGGAGUUAUGACUUCAUCGGCUUGCUCCUUUCUUUACGAAACUUUCUUAAUGCACUUUUCGGUUAACAAGUCAACAUCAAUUUCUUUUGUUGUAAAAGGGUAUGAGGAAGGUGGCUUUCUUUUCGGAGAAAGUGUUUAUAGCCUUGUGCCUCUGCAAUCGGAGAGAUUGAGGUCUGCAGCGUAGAUCCUUCGGGGUUAGAUACGUUUGUGCUAAGUUAUAGCUUUUCAUAGACAACUUGUUGACUAUGUUUAGUCUUGUAGCUUACUCGCUGACGCUAUUUUACCUACGCUUAGGAUGUUGAUAGUCACAGCGUGUAC
rnacentral:rRNA from 1 species